UACGUAGGGGGCAAGCGUUAUCCGGAUUUACUGGGUGUAAAGGGAGCGUAGACGGCAAUGCAAGUCUGGAGUGAAAGCCCAAGGCUCAACCAUGGGACUGCUCUGGAAACUGUGUAGCUUGAGUGCAGGAGGGGUAAGCGGAAUUCCUAGUGUAGCGGUGAAAUGCGUAGAUAUUAGGAGGAACACCGGUGGCGAAGGCGGCUUACUGGACUGCAACUGACGUUGAGGCUCGAAGGCGUGGGGAGCAAACAGG
rnacentral:rRNA from 1 species